UGGCUCAAAGGUUAAAGCGUCUGCCUUGGAAUGCAGGAGACCAGGGUUCGAUCCCUG
rnacentral:tRNA from 1 species